rnacentral:rRNA from 1 species
GUGUCAGCAGCCGCGGUAAUACAGAGGGUGCGAGCGUUGUUCGGAAUUACUGGGCGUAAAGCGCGCGCAGGCGGUCCUUUAAGUCUACCCGUGAAAUGCCGGAGCUCAACUCCGUGCACGCCGGGGGAUACUGGAGGACUGGAGACGAGUAGAGGCAAGCGGAAUUCCGGGUGUAGCGGUGGAAUGCGUAGAGAUCCGGAAGAACACCGGAGGCGAAGGCGGCUUGCUGGGCUUGGUCUGACGCUGAGGCGCGAAAGCGUGGGGAGCGAACAGGAUUAGAAACCCCCGUAGUCC